UCUCCGUUGGUGAACCAGCGGAGGGAUCAUUAUAGAGUUUUAUAACUCCCAACCCUUUGUGAACUUACCUUUGUUGCCUCGGCAGAAGCUGCUCGGUGCACCCUACCUUGGAACGGCCUACCCUGUAGCGCCUUACCCUGGAACGGCUUACCCUGUAACGGCUGCCGGUGGACUUUUAAACUCUUGUUAUUUUAUAGUAAUCUGAGCGUCUUAUUUUAAUAAGUCAAAACUUUCAACAACGGAUCUCUUGGUUCUGGCAUCGAUGAAGAACGCAGC
rnacentral:misc_RNA from 1 species